CAUGCUCUCUUGUUCUUUGUUAAUAUAGUUUAGUACUCACAUGCAAUUUUCCCUUGGAACAUUCAUUAAGCUAUGAACACACAUCAACCAUAUGACCAUGCUUAGAAUAAGUUCCACAUUUUGCUUUCCCACCAUAUGCCACAUGAUCUUUAGUGCCAUGCAUGGUUUUAUGUGCUGGCCAAAAUGUAUGCACAUUUUCUUUUAGUUUUUCUCAACAUGAGUUAGAUUGGGUGAGUUGGCUGCCGUUUAUCAGAUUGAACAGGUUCCAAUGAGAAGAAAAACUGAUGGAACUUAUUUGACAUGCUUUUGAUCACCUAUAUGAAGUAUCUUUUGCCUUAUGUAGUUGGUCUAAAAAUAUCACUUAUCAAUGCAGAUUGCUUUUUCUUUUGGUAGGUUUGAUAUGUCUUUGUGUUUCUGUUAUAUUACCUAUUAUACUUGACAGCAUACUUAUUAUAUUGAUUUGAAUCUUUCUCUAUCAUACUGCCAGACUUGGAAUGGAAUCUUUUCUUUUUGUACUGUACCAUUAAUUCAAGUCCUUGCCUGAGUUCACAUUUCUUCUUUUGCAUACUUGCCAUGUAAAAAAUAGAUAAACGAAUAAACCACAGAGCCAUGUGCAGCUGUCUUAGGGCAUUUUUUUGGAAAAUGGAUGAGAAUUUACGUCAUCUAGCAUCAGUCUUUGUCUAAAUCCUCUCGCUUUUAGUAAACAGGGACUUAAAAGAAUUUCACGCUGGAUUCCAGCUUGAAAUCGCUCUGCUGAGGUACUGUAGGUGUCCAAUGAACAUUUAGGAAUACAACCAUGGUACCGUGCCAUGUCAGUGCAACUUCAGUAAAAGUGCAUGGCUUUUGCUAACUAGAGAUGGUUUUGAACAAUGCACAGGAAAGGAAGAAAUAUCCCUGAUCAAUAUAGAUAUACGAAGUCUAAUAUGAGCAUUUAUUUUGAUUAACUGAAACCCAUCUAAUGCGGAUCAGUCUGCACAUGCUCAAGAUCAGGAUCUAUUUGUUUCAGUGGGUAAUGAAAUCCGGGAAAGGAAUGCAUUAGUGAACACAAAUAUAUGCUAUCCUAGUAAGGUCUGUGUGCUAUUAUUGUUGACAUAUUGGCAUGAUAAUACAGUGUGAGUCUGCGACUGAUGAUAACUGUCAAUCCAUGAAUUAACAUGAACAUAUUCUAUGUCAUUGUAAUGUCUGUAUGCUACUAUUAUUGAGAUAUUGGCAUGAUAUAAUAUGAUUGAUACUUAUAAUCCAGUGACCAUUCUUGUGUUUCAAAGAGUGGAUUGUUUACUUUCUGCCAAUUUUGUUAGCCAUCAAGAUCAUCAUUUAAUUAGACUACCCUUGUUG